CAGUCGCCGCGGUAAGACAGAGGAUGCAAGCGUUAUCUGGAAUGAUUGGGCGUAAAGCGUCUGUAGGUGGCUUUUCAAGUCCGCCGUCAAAUCCCAGGGCCCAACCCUGGACAGGCGGUGGAAACUACCAAGCUGGAGUACGGUAGGGGCAGAGGGAAUUUCCAGUGGAGCGGUGAAAUGCGUUGAGAUCGAAAAGAACACCAACAGCGAAAGCACUCUGCUGGGACGACACUGACACUAAGAGACGAAAGCUAGGGGAGCAAAUGGGAUUAGAUACCCCCGUAGUCCCUGUCUCUUAUAC
rnacentral:rRNA from 1 species